rnacentral:tRNA from 1 species
GGCUGCGUAGCUCAGUUGGUAGAGCACUCGGCUCAUACCCGAUACGUCGAGGGUUCGAACCCCCCCGCAGCCA